UCCUUCUUGCCUGAGCGGCUAGGGUGCUGAUUGCAAACUAGUAAUAGAUCGGUUCAACUCCGAUAGAAGGCUCCA
rnacentral:tRNA from 1 species